AUUGAACGCUGGCGGCAGGCCUAACACAUGCAAGUCGAACGAGUGGCGGACGGGUGAGUAAUGUAUGGGAAACUGCCUGAUGGAGGGGGAUAACUACUGGAAACGGUAGCUAAUACCGCAUACCAUCGGAUGUGCCCAUAUGGGAUUAGCUAGUAGGUAGGGUAACGGCUUACCUAGGCGACGAUCCCUAGCUGGGCUGAGAGGAUGACCAGCCACACUGGAACUGAGACACGGUCCAGACUCCUACGGGAGGCAGCAGUGGGGAAUAUUGCACAAUGGGCGCAAGCCUGAUGCAGCCAUGCCGCGUGUGUGAAGAAGGCCUUCGGGUUGUAAAGCACUUUCAGCGGGGAGGCGUUACCCGCAGAAGAAGCACCGGCUAACUCCGUGCCAGCCGCCGCGGUAAUUC
rnacentral:rRNA from 1 species